rnacentral:pre_miRNA from 1 species
AGAGGGAUAGCUGGGUCAAAUGGUGGUUCCAUUCCCAGGAAUCUCCAUACUGCUUUCCAUAUUGGCUGCACCAAUUUGCAGUCCCACCAGCAAU